rnacentral:misc_RNA from 1 species
GCGGCUUCCAGUAGACAGCAGAAUAUAAAGAAAAAUAUAUCACAAGAACCAACUAUCCCAUGUGUUUCGUUCUGUGCAGUAGAUUCAGAAAUUGUGCAAAAAACAACAAUGGAUUGUUUUGAUGAUGACCCUUUUGAGACAUCCUCUAGUAGGGAUGAAAAGGUGGAUGGUGUUCACCAGCUUUUGGAGGAGGGUUGGUUCUUUGGGAAACUGCUCACCAGGAAACCAAGAUCAUUUUUAAUGCUGAGGUGCUACUCUGAUCCUACUCCAAACUUUGAUCAAGCAAUUUUAGCAGAGAACAAUCCAUGCAUAGGGAAAGUUGUAGGUAAUUCGAUUCGUGAACCAUCAUUGCUGCCUUGUAUAGGCUGGAGAGAAGAGAAAAUUGAAGAGAAACAGCCGACCUGCAGGCAAUUAUCAGAUAAAGCAUCGGUACAACAGCCUAUCAAACCAACUACUUGUGCAGAAGGUAUUCAAGAGAGUAGAAGGAGCAAAGUGAUCACAGGGCAACCAUCAAAGCACAAAUUACUUAGAACACCAUCUCUACCCCCUUGUAUAGGUAGGAAAGAAGUAGAAGAAGAAGAAGAGAAUGAUGAUAACAUUACAAUGAGCAGAUUGAUUCGCCAAGCAAUGUCUCCUCGUCAUACUUCAAAGGGUAUGAUACAAAGUUCCAGCAUGCCAAGGUACAGACCACCAAGAAACUGGAAGAUGCAAACCAUUGACACAGUUAAUGCUAACUCUAAACAAAAGAGGAAUCUUGGAUGUUCUAACCAAAGAAAUAUACAGAGAAGCCUAAGUAAUAUUGAAUCUCAAGAAGUGCAAGGGUUCAAGGACUCUGGAUUCACAUUUAACAAACAAGACCUCAACCAAAGUGAGGUUGGAAUUCUCCCUGGUUUGCAAGACGAGCAAAAAAAAAACCAAGAUCAUCAAGACCAAGACAAAGUGAGGAGGAGACCUCAUCUUUCUAAGGCAUGGCAUCUGCAAAAGCAAAGUUGUGCACCUCCAAUUCCCAUUUGGGCUCCCAAAAAUUCAGCACAAGAAAUGAAGGCACAACUCAAGUAUUGGGCUAGAGCAGUCGCCUCUAAUGUACGCUAAUCAAUUUUUUUUGGCCUUGUGGCAAUUCCUAACAUUUGUUGGACUUUUGAUGGGUGUAUGCUUCACAAAUGAGCUACUCUUGUCACCUUAUAUUGAGAGCAAACUUGCAAGAACUGGAGGAAUGCCUUAGAGGAUUGAAGAAAUAACAAUUCCUGUUGAUUUUUAAGUCUGUAUUUUUCUAAUACUUGAGGGAUUCAAUAAUCUGUAACAAUAACAAUAAGUCCUUUUUAUCAUUUGAUUUGCAACAAUAAAACAUAUUCUGAUUUCAUAUUUCUCAU